AAUAUGAAGAUGAAGAGGAUUUGAAGGGCCAAGCGACUCUGACCGUCGCCCCCGGAGUAACUCAGUAGGAGGAAGAAAGUGGUUAGGAGGUGUGUGCGGCUUUACUGCGCUCGCUCGGGAGUACUUUUCCGAGGAGCUGGACCCGAUCAUUGCAGGGGUGAUCGCCCUCUUGUUGUCUGUAUUGGCGUAAAGUAGGUUGGCUUGAUAAACCACCUACAUGUGCUGAUACGACGGUGCAUAGUCUGAUCCUAUGUGCCUGGUGGAUGAUGGGAGGGGGGUCUGGUUACUCGAUGUGGUUGCUCGAGUGGGGGCGAGUUAAAAGGCGAAUCUAGAAUUGGUCUGCCUCUCUGUUUCCUUACCACCUUGGGGUCUCGGAAGAGUGAAGAUGAAGAGAAGAUGAAGAGGAUUUGAAGAUGAAGAGAAGACGAAAAUGAAGAGAAAAGAUGACUGGGGUUGUGGGUCCUGGGUGGGGGCGAGUUUAAAAGGCGAUCCUGAUAUUCAACGUCUGCCUUUCUGUUUUCCUUACCACCUCGGGACUUCGGUCUCGGAAGUGAGAAGAUGAAGAUGAAGAGAAGACGAUGAUGAAGAGAAGAUGAAGAUGAAGAGAAGAUGAAGAUGAGGAUGAAGAUGAAGAGAAGAUGAAGAUGAGGAUGAAGAUGAAGAUGAGGAUGAAGAUGAAGAGAAGAUGAAGAUGAGGAUGAAGAUGAAGAGAAGAUGAAGAUGAGGAUGAAGGUGAAGAUGAGGAUGAAGGUGAAGAGAUGAUGAAGAGAUGAUGAAGAUGAAGAGAUGAUGAAGAUGAGGAUGAAGGUGAAGAGAAGGUGAAGAGAAGAUGAAGAUGAAGAGAAGAUGAAGAUGAAGAGAAUAUGAAGAUGAAGACGAAGAGAAGAUGAAAAUGAAGAGAAAAGACGAGUGGACAGGGUCGACCGGUGGCCGCCUCCCCGUGGGUCCUCGCUGGACGCAGUAGACAGUUCGCUGUUUUGCUGUGACUGAAGGCCACCGGUAUAUAAAUCCUUCCAGACUUGUCCUCUGGGAGGUGGUUUUUCCAAGUGCCCUACUCGAGCUUCGGCUUGGGUACCGUUACUUGGCUAACGAGUUGAACAAGAAAGCAGCAAUGGGUAUGCCUUCGCAUGCCGGUUUUAUGGACCGAAAGGUCUGGGUGGCCACUGCUCCAAAGAUGUCCCUAUCUGCUAUCUAGCGAAACCACAGCCAAGGGAACGGGCUUGGAAAAAUCAGCGGGGAAAGAAGACCCUGUUGAGUUUCACUCUAGUCUGGCUCUGUGAAGAGACAUGAGAGGUGUAGUAUAAGUGGGAGCUUCGGCGACGGUGAAAUACCACUACUUUCAUCGUUUCUUUACUGACUCGGUGAGGCGGAAAGCGGUCUCGGACCGGCAUUCUAGAACCAAGUCCCCACCUCUGGUGGGGGCGAUCCGCUCCGAGGACAGUUUCAGGCGGGGAGCUUGGCUGGGGCGGUACAUCUGUCAAAGGGUAACGCAGGUGUCCUAAGGCGAGCUCAGCGAGGACGGAAACCUCGCGUGGAGUGAAAGGGCAAAAGCUGGCUUGAUCUUGAUUUUCAGUACGAAUACGGACCGCGAAAGCGUGGCCUAUCGAUCCUUUUGAUAUUCGGGGUUUGAAGCAAGAGGUGUCAGAAAAAUUACCAAAGGGAUAACUGGCUUGUGGCGGCCAAGCGUUCAUAGCGACGUCGCUUUUUGAUCCUUCGAUGUCGGCUCUUCCUAUCAUUGCGAAGCAGAAUUCGCCAAGCGUUGGAUUGUUCACCCACCAACAGGUAACGUGAGCUGGGUUUAGACCGUCGUGUGACAGGUUAGUUUUACCCUACUGAUGCGGGUCGUUGCCGUAGUAUUCCUGCUCAGUACGAGAGGAACCGCAGGUACGGACAUUUGGUACGUGCGCUUGGUCGAACGGCCAAUGGCGCGAAGCUACCAUCCGAGGGAUUACGACUGAACGCCUCUAAGUCGGAAUCCCGCCUAUGGAUUGCAACGAUACUGUCGUGUCCCCGUUAUUUCGCGGUGCGAAUAGCGGGCUCCCUCGUGGGGUCCGCGAUCAGACCUUCCCGGGGCGUGCUAGACAGCAACUGGAGCGUUGUUGCCGUCGCGCGUCUCACACUCAACCUGUUUGAGGAAA
rnacentral:rRNA from 1 species